CCUGCUGCUCGCGCGGCCCGGCCCGCGGAGCCCCCGCGGCAGCGCACAGCCCCCGGGGGGACAGGCUGACGCAGGGGGGCAGCGAGAAUUAUCGCCGAACUGCUGGUGGCCGCGUUCUUUCCCUAUCACAGCCAACGAGUCCCUGCAGCAGAAAUGGGGGCUGAGGGGAGGUGACGUAGACCGCUGGUUCUCUGGAGAGACAAGAGUUUGCCGGAACCCCGAAAGACUAGCUUCAUGGAGGCGGCCCCGGCUCUCCUGCCUGGAGCACCACCAGCACCCCCGCCCCCAGCAAGCCCACCAGGAGUCAGAGGCUAAAAGGAGUUCGAGGCUGAGCUCAUUUUCCUGCUGCUUGGUGGAAAUUCUUCCCGGAACUGUCAGUCACUGAGCUCUGCUCUCGAACUUGUCAUCUUUUAAAAACUGAUCUGCAAGAAGUCUUUAUAUAUUAAAAGAAGUGUGCUGCCAGAUGUGUUCUCUCCACCAUGAUAGGAAUGAUUUAUGAUCUGUGCUUUCAGUGUGGUAGCCCACGACCGUGGGUGACUUUAAUGCAUUUGAAUCGUGGCGACAGUAAAUGGUGCACUGAAUUUUUAAUUGCAUUUAAUUUGAAUUUAAAUAGCCAUUUGUGAUUAAAUGGCUAGAGAAAUUUUUUCCCAUUUGACUUUUAAUUUGCUGUCCACAGUAUUCUUACUCUUAAAAUUGGCUUGAGGCAUACUUUACACGUUUAUUUUUAUGUUGUCAUGUUUAUCUCUUUUUCUUCAUGGCCUUUGUUUUGUGGCAUGUUGAGAAAGGCCUUUCUUGUGACAAGAUUAUUAAAAUAUUCACCUGUAUUCUUCUCUACUACUUAGAUGAUUUUUCAGAUUUAAAUUUUUGUUUCAUCUGGAAAUUACUUUGGCCAAGGACUGUAGGGGGCACAGCUCCCACCUCUGAGAGGCUGGCCAGAUGUCCCAGUAUCAUUAUUAUUAGAGUCCAUCUUUCCUCUGCUGCUCUGAAAUGCCGCCUUUAUCAUGAUGUCCACAACUUAAUCUCAAAUGGUAAAGCAACAAACAUAUUUAUAAUAUAUAUGGGUGUGUAUAGAUUGAGACAAAACAAACCUGGUGAAAAGUUAACACAGCAAUUGUUGAAUCAAGUUAAUAUAUAAAUCAUUACAGCAUUCUGAUUUUUCUGUACGCCUAAAAAUUGUCUC